rnacentral:lncRNA from 1 species
CAGCUGGCCUGUAUGGCAAGCCUCCCCCUGCUUCCCCUGCUAGCCUUGAGUGUAGGCGCCUUGAGGCAAGGCCCUCUAGACUGAAGAAUCUAGUAAGUCAACACGAUGGCCAGUGCCCAGCUAAAUCCAAGCAACCCCUGGCUCAGUGGAAACGUACCUCGUACUCCACGAAAGAUUAGGCUGGACUGUGGGACUGUCUUGUCCACAGACAAGAAGACAAGAUUGGAGCCAUCACAUUUGCAUCCUUAAAUCCCACAGACAUUCCAUCAAGAGACAUACUUAGCCUUCUCACAAGUGAAAACAGAUUCAGGAGAGCAGGCUCUCAGAGUUUCAGUAUCCAUUCUGAGAUUGUAUCUCUGUCAUGUAACAGUUUCCUCAAGAUUGAAACAUUCCAUCCUUCAGGGAAGCUCAGAAGAUGCAGGUACAACGUGGCCAGUAGACCCCAGCUCCUGUGCUGUUCCUUCCCCACCAUGAUGGGCUGUAUCCCCUUGAACUGCAAAUAAACCCUUCCUCCCUU